rnacentral:tRNA from 1 species
CUGAAAAACCCCCGUUGUUCUUCAACUAUAAAAAUAUUUAACCU